GAAUUGUUCGCAAUGGGCGCAAGCCUGACGACGCAACGCCGCGUGGAGGAUGAAGGUCUUCGGAUUGUAAACCCCUGUUGCCCGGGACGAAUGGCUCCAACCUAAUACGUUGGAGCGUGACGGUACCGGGUGAGGAAGCCCCGGCUCACUCUGUCCCAGCCGCAGCGGUAAUACAGAGGGGGCAAGCGUUGUUCGGAAUUACUGGGCGUAAAGGGUGCGUAGGCGGCCUUCUAAGUCGAACGUGAAAUCCCCGGGCUCAACCCGGGAACUGCGUCCGAGACUGGAAGGCUCGAAUCCGGGAGAGGGAUGUGGAAUUCCAGGUGUAGCGGUGAAAUGCGUAGAUAUCUGGAGGAACAUCGGUGGCGAAGGCGGCAUCCUGGACCGGUAUUGACGCUGAGGCGCGAAAGCCAGGGGAGCAAACGGG
rnacentral:rRNA from 1 species